rnacentral:lncRNA from 1 species
CACCCGCCGGCGCAGUGGGAGCAUUCUGUGCGCAUGCGCGUGGCGUGCGGGGCGCGGGGCGCUGGGCGGGGGUUGACGGACGGCCCCUGGUACGCCGCUGAACACCUCGGGGCCGCGGAGAUGCUCUCCGGGGCGGCCGCCACGUCCAACCCGCGGCUCGUCAGUCGGCUCCUGGAUCUGAGUGAUUUCUUCAGCCUUCGGCAUAAAGUGGCUCAUCUUUCACCAGGAACGGAAAGAAACUAGGAAGGCGAUGGGUAGCGUCAGUAAUGUACUUGGUACAACUGGCCUUUUAGCACUUCCGUUCAGAGUCUAAACUUCUAUAAGGUGUGCUGCCAAGAAAUGGUGAAAUCCUGACACGCGCGGCUCCUCUCGGAAGGGCAGUGAACUCGGCACUGAGACCGUGGUCCUGAGCCCUGCGCUCGCGAAGGAGCUGCGGGAGGACACUGAUGUGACGCUGCCAUCUAGCGUCAGAGCUUGGGAGUUACAAAAGUGAGGCACGAUCUCCGCUGGAGGGAGAGCAGCCCUGCUGCACGCAGUCCCGAAUACCUGCAGAAGACGCAGCUCCUCGCUGAUGUGGGGACGUACAUGCUCACAGCUGGGACGCAGGCCGGCGAAGUGAAAUGCGGAAUUAGGGGUCUCCACUUGCAUCCAUGUCAGACUUCUCUUGGGGUCCUCUGAAUUCUCAGGUAAACACCAGAAUCUGGAGAUAUUUGGGGAGUAUUGCAGUCUUCACAAUUCACCAGGUGUGAUCAAAAUGUACAGUGAACUUUUAAAUUUCUAAAAACUCUUACAGGGCCGGGGAGAUAGCUCAGUGGCACAAGCGCCUGCCUGGCAAGCACAAGGUCCUGAGUUCGAUUCUCGGUACCAAAAAAAUAAAAAUAAAUAAAAAUUAAAACUCUUGCAGUAAAAGACAUCUGCAGUAAUCCCCCUCAGCUGCUGCUCAUUUUGAACACACUUAUUCCACCGUUCUUUUGACUUUCUGACUUUUUAAUGUGUGAUCAAAAAUGUGGUGAAUGUUGCUGCCAGGUGCCAUCCCAUAGAAAGGCAGGCUUCUGAAAACAUAACAGGGUGUCCUCAUCCACCUGGUUUACUGGAUCUGCCCCUGAUCAAUCUCUGGCUCUUCCUCCAAGUCAGAAUGAACAUGGAGGGAAAACGUUUUGAAUCCACUGAAAACCCGGAGGCAGCCACAACAGCAUAAUAAAGACACUCUUGAAAGAGGACUUGCAGAAUUACUUUAGAAAGCGGCAAGAACAUUGCAAUACAUGCGCUCAAAAUCAAGAGGGCAUCAUGGCAGUGUGUCUAUUGCUGUAAUAAAUUUUUUAACUUACACGUUCACC